rnacentral:rRNA from 2 species
CAGUACAAGCCUAAUUAAGGUGAAACCGCGAAAGGCUCAUUAAAUCAGUUAUGGUUCCUUAGAUCGUACGCACAUUUACUUGAAUAACUGUGGUAAUUCUAGAGCUAAUACAUGCAAACAGAGCUCCGACCAGAGAUGGAAGGAGUGCUUUUAUUAGAUCAAAACCAAUCGGCGGCAGUCAUUUCGGUGUCUGUUCGUCGCCCUAUUUGGUGACUCUGAAUAACUUUAUGCUGAUCGCACGGUCUUGCACCGGCGACGCAUCUAUCAAAUGUCUGCCUUAUCAACUGUCGAUGGUAGGUUCUGCGCCUACCAUGGUUGUAACGGGUAACGGGGGAUCAGGGUUCGAUCCCGGAGAGGGAGCCUGAGAAACGGCUACCACAUCCAAGGAAGGCAGCAGGCGCGCAAAUUACCCACUCCCGGCACGGGGAGGUAGUGACGAAAAAUAACGAUACGGGACUCAUCCGAGGCCCCGUAAUCGGAAUGAGUACACUUUAAGUCCUUUAACCAGGAACCAUUGGAGGGCAAGUCUGGUGCCAGCAGCUGCGGUAAUUCCAGCUCCAAUAGCGUAUAUUAAAGUUGUUGCGGUUAAAAAGCUCGUAGUUGAAUCUGUGUCCCGUGCUGUCGGUUCACCGCCCGCGGUGCUAACUGGCACGUCUCACGGGACGUCCUGCCGGUGG